UAAUUUUGAAAUAAAUAUGGCCACCAAAAUAAAGAUGAUAAAAAUGUUAUCAAUGGAAAUUAAGAGACGGAAUAUUUAAACUUUCAAAAAAAAAUACAACUUCGUAAAAUAUAGUAAACAAAAAAUCACAAAAUCUCAUUUUAUCGGACAAUUCGCCACAGGCUGUAUCAUGUUCUGAGUGCAAACAUAUUUAAGAUAAACGAUGUAUACAUAACAGCAAUAUGUUUGAAUAAUAAUAUAUUUCUUUAUUAUUUUAAUCGAGUAUAUUUUAAGAGUAUCUUUUUAUACAAUAUACAAUAACAGCAUUCUUUCCAUGAAAAAAAUAUUUUCACACAUUCGUGAUAUUUCGCAAGGACCGAAAUUCUCAAACAUUUUUUGAGAAAUUUUCUACUAUUAUUGGGAAUUUGGGAGAAGGAAUUAUUUGAGCACCUGUAUACUUAAUAUGACAUCUACGUUAUUUCUACAGGUUUGAUACGACAUUUCGCCUUUAAUUUUUUUCAAGAGUUUCUAUUACAUAUUUUUACAUAGAUAUUUUCGUAUGGGAAAUGAAUUCUCCCAAAUCAGUCUACGUUGCAUCAUAAUUAUUCCAAACUGGAACUGGAUAAGUCUUGCACUAUAUGGAAGUGUGUAACUUAUUAUUAUUAUUAUUAUCAUAAACAGAUUUCUUGCCUAUGAGACUAUGAUGGUAAAAAAGUGGUCAAAGUUUCAAAGACAUAUGUCAAUCAGCUUAGACAAAAUAUGGACAUAUGUGAAAAUUGAAACAAUUUCCAUAUCCAAAAAGAGCCAUAAUUCAGCCAAAAUACUUGACAGAGCUGUGCAUUCUUGUCUACAUAUAGGAUAGAGAAUUACAAUAAAAAAGUCGUCGCCUUAUUUCCACAAUGCCGUAAGUUCAUUUUGGCAAAAUUGAGAUUUUAGUAAAGGCUGUACGUAGUGUAAAGUCAUUGACAUUAAAAUCUUUAAGCGUCGUUUCUUAAAACUAUCAGAAAACUAGUUAAUGCAUUGUGAAAAAAGGCAGCGAAGUGAUAAAAGUUGCAAAGCCAUAAUGUCAAACGGUUUAUAUAAAAUAUGGACUUGUAUUUUAGACUUUUCUCAGCCAGACUCGAGUUAUGACCCUUCACUGUUAAAAACAUAAUAUAAACAAGUAACAUAUGGCCGUUCAGAGACAUGAAUCGGGUGAGCCAGUGUAUAUAGAGACAUAUUUAGUUUCAGAAAAUGAUGUUAAAUGUAAGAUAUACACUUGAAAUUUCUAUUCAUUUUUAACGAGCAAUAAGUACUAUUGCCUUAAGAUCUGAGAAUGUAUAAAAUGCCGAUACGUUUUAUAUAGUCUUUAAAAUCCCAAAGAAACAUAUAAAAUGAAUACUUUAUUCUAAGAAAAAAGCAUCGUAGGGGUACAAUUCAACCCAAAGCUAAUAAAGCUGGUUAAAGAAACUUAUUUUUGAUCACAGAUGUCCCUAGAGUAUUAUUCAACAAAUGAUAUACCAUAAUGCACAUUCUAUCGCGGCCAUAUUGGACGUCAUCUUGAAUUUUUAGUACUUUGCCUCCUUAGGUGUCACCCCGGUAUAGAAGUACUUCCGGGUCGUUGUAUCCUAGAAAGUAGUUAUUUGAAAUUUUGAAGUUCCCAAUUUAACGCUAUCCCUACUUUGACAUGUUAUAUUCCAAAUGUAUUUAUUGAUAAUGUGUACAUUUUUUUGUCAUUUCUGAUGUCUUUAACAGUUGUUUUAAGUGUGUUUUUCAGGAUUACAUUUCUGUGCGGAAGGCUUAAAAAACUACACCAGACUGGUGGCCAUGACAGAUGUCAGUGGGAAAUUUAAACAUGGACUAGAUACUUUGAUGUGUAGCAAAAAAGUUCAUCGUUGAUGGUGGUGUUUUUCUGUGAUAUAUUGACUGGGAUAGUAUUACCCUUCAGAAAUGCAGAGCGGUCAAUGCUGCAAUUUUGUUGUGAAAUUCACAAUCCAUGUCCAAAAGUGCUUGUUUUACUAUACAGCAAAGAAGGAGAAAUUGUACCGGGCCGACACCUAUAUGUCAAAUUCAGAAAGUGGAAUAUCUCAGCAACCAUAGGGUUUACAGUCAUGAAACUUCACACACUAGUAGCUGAUAACAAUACAAAUCAGUGACUAAAAGGAUAUUUCCAAGGUGUUCCUGAUCACACUUAGAACUAUACACACACACUCAGUUGUUUCUCAAGAAAGGCCGACACCGGUUCACAAUCUUUCUUUUGUCAUUUGCCGGCGAUGAAUUCCAUAUGUCAGUAGGAAUUUAGAAGUGUACAACCAGUCAGCAGCUACCCAUAAACCAGACCAACCUAUUAAGUCGAGCGGGCAGAAGCUGUUAUUCUAAGUGUAACACCGCAGAAUGACGGCUAGUUUUCGGAUUACAUUUCUGUGCGGAAGGAUUAAAAAACUACACCAGACUGGUGGCCAUGACAGAUGUCAGUGGGAAAUUUAAACAUGGACUAGAUACUUUGAUGAUUAGCAAAAAAGUUCAUCGUUGAUGGUGGUGUUUUUCUGUGAUAUAUUGACUGGGAUAGUAUUACUCUUCAGAAAUACAGAGCUGUCAAUGCUUCAAUUUUGUUGUGAAAUUCACAAUCCAUGUCCAAAAGUGCUUGUUUUACUAUACAGCAAAGAAGGAGAAAUUGUACCGGGCCGACACCCUUAUGCGUGGUCGUAUCAAACCGAUCUGAAAACUAAAGCUGUAACGAACAUUUCGGUUAUGCUUUUUCAUAGACCACUUUCCCAUCGUUUAAAGCGAAAUUUUGUAUUAUAAGUGUGGUCUAAACUCACCUUAAUACAUCAAGUACUGUGCAUACUACUACAUUAAUUCAAUAAUAUAUUUAUACAUUAAACACAUUGCCUUGGCCUUUAUAUGUCACUGUCAAUUUGUAACUAGACACUUGUUAUUUCUUAUUUUCUUCAUGCAAAGCAUGUAUAAUUACCAUCAUGGAAAUACAAAAGAAUACAGUUAUUUUGUGGCGCGUCUUUAAGCGUUUAUAAAAUACACUUGCAACUAUUAAAUGCUAAAGUUUUUAUUAAAUAUUUUCAGCAUUUAAAAAAGCAUUAACAUUAUUAAAUAAAUAAGCAUUUAACAUUUAUAAAAAGAUAUAAAGGAUAAUGUAUUUGCUGAUAUUAAUGUUUUAUAUGAAUUUUAAUGUAUUCUAUUUAAAUGAAAAUGUUUUCUAAAAAUACUGAAUUAUUCUAUUAAUACGAAUGUAUUCCAAAAAUGCAAAUGUUUUAUAAAAUACUGAUGUAUUCUAUAAUCACGAAUGUAUUCUGUGAAUGCAUAUGCUUUCUACCCGUGCAAAGAUAUCAAUUAAAAGCCAAUGUAUUCUAUAAAUGCAAAUGUUUCAUUUCAUUGUGGCUGUAUUCUAUAAAUACUAGGAUGUUCUGAAAAUACUAAAAAUUCUACAAAUGCGACAUAUUUCAUGUAUUCAAUAAAUGAGAAUAUUUCUAUAAACCCAACAAAAAAUUCUAUAAAUGCUAAUGUAAAUGCAAAUGAAUUCUAUAAAUGCGAAAGAUUUUUUUUUUGUUUUUGUUGGAUUUAACGUCGCACCGACACAUGAUAGGUCAUACGGCGACUUUCCAGCUUUGAUGGUGGAGGAAGACCCCAGGUGCCCCUCCGUGCAUUAUUUCAUCACGAGCGGGUACCUGGGUAGAACCACCGACCUUCCGUAAGCCAGCUGGAUGGCUUCCUCACAUGAAGAAUUCAACGCCCCGAGUGAGGCUCGAACCCACAUCGAUGAGGGGCAAGUGAUUUGAAGUCAGCGACCUUAACCACUCGGCCACGGAGGCCCCCAUAAAUGCGAAAGAAUGUAUUGUAUAAAUGUUUAUAUAUUGUAUAAAGCCUAUCGAAUCAUACUGCAAAUGUACUUGAAAUACAAAUACAAAUUCAAAUGUAUUCUGUCAUCGCGAAUGCGUUCAUCAGUGCAAGUAUAUUCUAUAAUUGCGACUGAAUUCUAUAAAUACAAAUGUUUUCUAUUAAUUCUACGGUAUCAUUUAAAUGCUUAUAUAUGCUAUAAAUGCUAAGGUGUUCUAUACAAGUGAUGCUAAUGUAUCCUAUAAAAGUGUAUCUUAUAAAUACAUACAAAUGUAUUCUAUGAAUGAUAGUACAUUGAAUGAAUGCUAAUGUAUUCUUAAUGCGAAUGUUUUUCACAACUACAAAUAAAUCUUUGAAUGCUAAUACAUAUUUUAAAUGCUAAUGACCGUAUUCUUUUAACAUGUUGAUUUAUUUUCUAGAUGCCUGCAAAUCUAAUCUAUAAAUGAUAAAGAUUGCAUAAAUAUAUUCUAUAAAUAUGAAAAUAUUUCUUCUGUAAAUGCUAAUGUAUUUUAAUAAAUGCUAAAGUAUUUUAUAACACUUCUAUAAAUGCUUAAGUAUUUUAUAACACUUCUGAUUUGUAUAAAUACUAAUGCACUUCAUAUACGCUAAUGUCUUUUUACAUAAAUGCGAAUGCAUUCUAUAAAUUGAAUUGUAUUCUGUAAAUGCUAAGAAUAUUUUAGUAAAUACUAAUGAAUCUAUGUGUGCUUAUGUAUUUUAUAAAUACUUAUGCAUUCUUUAAAUGUUAAUGUAUUUUCUAGAUACAUGCGAAUGUAUUCUAAAAGUGAUAAUGACUGUAUUAGUGCUUAUGUUCUCAUAUAAAAGCGACAGAAUGUAUAUUAUAAAUACUAAUGUAUUUCAUAAAUGGUAAUGUAUAUUAUAAUGUUACUGUAAUUAAAAGUACUAAUGUACUACAUGAUCUAUUCUGUAAGUGCGAAUGUAUUCUGCCAACGCAAAUGAAGUAUAUUAAGUCUGGUGUAUUGUUUAUUGUAUGUAGAUUUUCUAAAUACAUGCGAAUACAUUCUAUAUAUGACUGUGUAAAGACUAAUGUUUUCUACAAAUGCGAAUCUUUUGAUCUAAGAAUGCUUUUUACUAAAUACUAAUGAAUUUAUUAAAUGCGAUUGAAUCAUAUAAAUACUAGUGUAUAAUCUAUAAUCAUUGUUAAUGUAUCCUUUAAAUAUAUGCGAAUACAUCAUAUAAAUAAUAAUAAUUGCAUAAAUGCUAAUGUAUUCUAUAAAUGCGAAUUUGUUAUGUAAAUACUAAUAAAUCUAUGAAUGCUAAUACACUUUAUAAAUGCUAAAAUAAAUGUAUUCUAUAAAUGCGAAUAUUUUUAUAUAAAUACUAAUGGAUCUAUGAAUGCUAAUAUAUUUUAUAAAUCCGAAUGUAUUAUUGUUAACGUAUUUUCAAAAUGCAUACGACUUUUUUAUAAUUAUAAUGAUUGUAACAAUGCUUAUGUUUUCUAUAAAUGCUAAUUAUUCUAUAAAGGCUACUGUACUUUAUAAUGCUACUGUAUGUUGAAAAUAUCAAUGCUCUACAUAAAUGCUAAUAUAUUUUAUAUAAAUGCGAAUUGUAUUUUUGUCAGUGUGGAUAUAGUGAAUCAAUGUUGAUAUAUUCUAUAAAUACGACUGAAUUCUAUAAAUGCGAGUGUAUUUUACAAAUUCUAAUGUAAUUCAUAAAUGUUAAUAUAUAUGAGCCGUGCCUUGGGAAAACCAGCAUAGUGGC